rnacentral:rRNA from 1 species
GAUCCUGGCUCAGGACGAACGCUGGCGGCGUGCUUAACACAUGCAAGUCGAACGAAGAGCGAUGGAAGCUUGCUUCUAUCAAUCUUAGUGGCGAACGGGUGAGUAACGCGUAAUCAACCUGCACUUCAGGAGGGGGACAACAGUUGGAAACGACUGCUAAUACCGCAUACGAUCUAAUCUCGGCAUCGAGGAUGGAUGAAAGGUGGCCUCUAUUUAUAAGCUAUCACUGAAGGG